rnacentral:lncRNA from 1 species
CAGUCUCUUGAACACUUUAUUUGUUAUAAAUACAAGUCCAUACCACAAGAUGGCACCUUCUUACUUUCCAACAUCUACGAUUACAAACAUUCAUCUUCAUAAAAUGGUUUCAGCUUUUUCAUGUGUUGUUUAGAUAUUAUUGAAACCUUAUAAAAGCAAGACUUCCUACAAACAGGAUCGGUGUUAGAUGUAUAUUAAAUGAGGUCAGAUAAUUAAAUUCAAAAAAAGAAUUUAUAAAUAUUCAGAUAAGAAAAUUGAAAUUACAAAAGCAGAGUUUGUCAUCAUUAAACUGAAUUACAACUGUGUGUGGCUAAUGCUAUAUCUACAUGGUAAAGUUUUUGUUAAAAUACAGUUUUAGUAAUUAAAUAAUUUACCUCUUUUUUCCAAUAUAACCUCUGAUUUCAUUUGUACACCCUAACAUUCAGUACACAUUUCAUUCAAAACCACUUAGCUUUCAUCUAGUCCAGCAACUACACACAUUUCAUUUGUUUUCAAUAGAUACAACUCAUGAAGUGCCAUCAUCCUCCUGGCUACAAAACAAAAUACAAUUUGUAAAGGUAAAAACUCAGAAUUUCUGAAAUGGUAACCCAUUCUCUCUGUGUUCGUGAAAAUAGGCAAGCCAAUUUGAAAGUCUUUGAACUGACGUAAAUUCUAGAAAACUCAGUGUUGAAGUAUGGGAAGAAUAAGGAUUUGCACUAAUAUAGUGCAUAAGAAUGCAGUGUCAGACUGAUCAUUUACAGUAAAAGCCUUGGCCUCUCCGGAUUGUCAUCAUGCUGCUGAGGAUAAAAUUUACUUAAGUCUGUGGGAAUUCCAUCAUG